rnacentral:misc_RNA from 1 species
AAGUCGUAACAAGGUUUCCGUAGGUGAACCUGCGGAAGGAUCAUUAACACGUAUCCACGUAUCAACCAAUGCGAACUUGUUUUCAAUCUCCCUUGACCCUACAUGAAUUGAUAAUAGGCAGUGAUCGAGAGAGGAGCUUCGGCUCAUCACUGACUACCAACUGACUCGCGCAAGCGGACCGACAAUUGUAGUAGGUGUGAAGGCUAAUUCUGACUUAGCAUAGCCACUCUUUGGGCCAGCUUUGUUGGAUACUCUAUAUACCUAUUUCACCCCCUUUUUGCUAGUUGACUUUAUAUAUGUUAAUAGCCUCGUAUGCUUUUUGCUACAGAACUAUUACACGUUUAUUUAUUUGAACGUUAUGAAACAACUCUUAGCAAUGGAUAUCUUGGUUCUC